rnacentral:rRNA from 1 species
UACAGAGGUCUCAAGCGUUGUUCGGAUUCAUUGGGCGUAAAGGGUGCGUAGGCGGCGCGGUAAGUCGGGUGUGAAAUCUCGGAGCUUAACUCCGAAACUGCAUUCGAUACUGCCGUGCUUGAGGACUGGAGAGGAGACUGGAAUUCCUGGUGUAGCAGUGAAAUGCGUAGAUAUCAGGAGGAACACCGAUGGCGAAGGCAGGUCUCUGGGCUGACACUGACGCUCAUGCACGAAAGCGUGGGGAGCAAACAGG